CGGAGGGUAUUCGGGGAGGACAGGUGGUGCAUGGUUGUCGUCAGCUCGUGUCGUGAGAUGUGGGUUAAGUCCCGCAACGAGCGCAACCCUACUUGCUAGUUACCAUCAUUAAGUUUGGGGACUCUAGCGAGACUGCCAGUGAUAAACUGGAGGAAGGUGGGGAUGACGUCAAAUCAUCAUGCCCCUUAUGACCUGGGCUACAAACGUGAUACAAUGGCUGGAACAAAGGGAUGCGAAGCAGUGAUGUGGAGCGAAACCCAUAAAAACAGUCUCAGUUCGGAUUGAAGUCUGCAACUCGACUUCAUGAAGUCGGAAUCGCUAGUAAUCGCGGAUCAGAACGCCGCGGUGAAUACGUUCUCGGGGUUU
rnacentral:rRNA from 1 species